rnacentral:lncRNA from 1 species
AAUUUUCCAAUGAUUAUUAUUUAAUAUCUCAAGUUAUUAAAUAAUUCCCGCAUGUGUGUGUGCGGAUUGAUUUCCACAAUUUAGGGUUUUAUGCUAUUAGGGUUUUCCAACACAAUACUAGCCCAUUAGUCCAUUGAUUGGGCUUUUAGGUCACAUUGGGCCUUAUUAAGCCCAUUAGGAUUACCAUUGGGCCUACUAGGGUUUCUUUGAGCCCAUUAGGGUUUCAUUGGUCCCACAUUGUCCAAGCAUCCCCCAAACGAGGUCCAAACGCAAUCAAAGCACACCGCCACCCGACACGGCGGNGGAGGCGGUAGCCACCACCAUACUGUGGUGUUUAGGGUUUCUUUCCAUUAUCCUUUAUCGAUUAUAUCAUACAACAGAAAACUCUAUUAACACACACACUAAGCUAACACACACACCCUCCAUGGCGGCCUUGAGGUGGCAGCCAUUGUGGUUCUUCCUUGACUUUUCUCCGGCAGCAACAACCCGACACAUCCAAACUUGCGAGACACGCUGAAACACACACCCACUUCACACACACCCCCUACUGCCCAGAAAAUAAACCCAACAUCCACUGAGGUGGGUGGUGAAGGCGGCAGUAUAAGAGAAUGACAACAGCGACGACAACCCUUCAGCUGCUUGGGCGGUGGUGGUCGACAUAGAAGAACGGUAUCGACACACACCUGAUAUGCAAGGCAUGACACAACCACCCAUUUGGUGGCAUCCGACGGACCAGACGACUGGCAUAACGACGGCACAACGGGUUUCAUCGACUCUCGCGGUUCUCCAGCAGCAGCGUCGCAAUGGCAACUAUCAACAAUAGCGUAGCGGUCAGCGACGCUUAAUGGCGGGGCAGCAGAUGUCCCCAUUUGAUCGGAAUAUCGAACGAAAUGGAGGUGGUGGCAGCCGACUUCAUGCAUGGCGGCUGGANNNNNNNNNNNNNNNNNNNNNNNNNNNNNNNNNNNNNNNNNNNNNNNNNNNNNNNNNNNNNNNNNNNNNNNNNNNNNNNNNNNNNNNNNNNNNNNNNNNNNNNNNNNNNNNNNNNNNNNNNNNNNNNNNNNNNNNNNNNNNNNNNNNNNNNNNCGUCCGCCGACAAGGCAGCAAAUGUUGAAGGUCAUCACUAGCCCAAUAGAAUCAUGUUAUUGUCUAGAAGAAGUUAGCAUGUUCUAGAAUGAUCUGGAAGAUUCUAGAACAUUAUGGAAUACUAUGGAGGAGUGUUGAAGAUGCUGGAAGAUUCUAGAAUACUCUAGAAUGAGAUGGAAGACCCUGGAAGGCUAUGGAACAUUCUAGAACACUAUGGAAGACACAAGAAUGUCUAUACUUAUCUAGGACAUUAUAGAACAUUCUAGAAACAUAUAAAAGCUUGUAAUAGAUAUAGAAUAUGGUAGAUAGUUCUAGAAUAGCCAUGAAUGUAUGUAGAUCUAGAAACUUCCUAUAAGGAGGUGGAAACACCUAUAAAUAGGUGUGGAGCUCAUUUGCUCCAAACAAUCCCAACAUCCAAGUAUCCAAGAAAGCCUCAAAGAAAGCAAAGUGUGUAGUAGUCUCACAAAGUGUAAGUUCUCCUUAAGUGUCUUAAUAAAAGUCUUGUUGUUUCCCAUAUAAAAGAGUCGUGUUCAACAAUCUGGUAUCAGAGCAAGGUUUCUUGAUAGUGAGAACGAGUGAUUCUCGUUGUAUCGUGAGUAGUUUGUGACUCUGCAAGUUUAGUAUCGAAACUAGCUUGUUUGGUAUUACCGAGGUACUGCCAACACGAUGGGUGAUCUCCAAGUCGUCGGAGGAAUCAAGAAACUCAACAACAACAACUACAAAACGUGGGAAACAUGUAUGAAGUCCUACUUACAAGGACAAGAUCUAUGGGAGGUCGUUGGUGGAAGCGAAACUACGCCACCAGAGGAAGACGUUAAUGGUGCUUUACGUAAAUGGAAAAUCAAAGCAGGCAAAGCAAUGUUUGCCUUGAAGACCACAAUCGAAGAAGAGAUGUUGGAGCAUAUUCGGGAUGAGAACACCCCGAAAGAAGCUUGGGACACGUUUGUGACGCUUUUCUCAAAGAAGAAUGAUACGAGACUACAACUUUUGGAGAACGAGCUAUUAUCAAUCUCACAACGUGACAUGACGAUUGCUCAAUAUUUCCACAAGGUCAAGUCGAUAUGUCGGGAGAUUACUGAACUAGAUCCGCAAUCCGUCAUUGCAGAAGCUCGAAUGAAGAGGAUCAUUAUCCAUGGACUGAGGCCGGAAUAUAGAAGCUUUGUUACUGCUGUACAAGGAUGGCCCGUUCAACCAUCACUUGUAGAGUUUGAGAAUUUGUUGGCUAGCCAAGAAGCUAUGGCUAAGCAAAUGGGAGGCAUCACGCUGAAGAGUGAAGAAGAAGCACUCUACACAAGUAAAAGUCGGAGGAAUUUUAAGCCACCUCCUAAAGAAGGAUACAAAAAUGCUGACAAAGGGAAGAGUCAGCCAGGAACCUCACAACCAUGGAGAUCUCAAAAGAUCGACAAUAAGAGUUCUUGGGGGAGGAGGUUCGAAGGCAACUGCAACAAUUGUGGAAAGUGGGGCCACAUGUCCAAGGAUUGUUGGUCAAAGAAAAAGUCUGUGGAAAGCAAUGUAGUAACUUCCAAAAAGGAAGUAGAGGAUGAAUGGGAUGCUGAGGCACUAUGUGCUAUAGAAGAGAAUAAGACUAAAAGAGGAAGGCUAAUGUUCGUGGAUGCCAGGGUAAAUGGAGGAUACACCAAGGCAUUGGUAGAUACAGGUGCAUCUCAUAAUUUCCUUGCUAAAGAUGAAGCUAAGAAGUUGGGCAUCAAAUACACCAAAAAUCCAGGCCGGUUGAAAGUCGUCAACUCUUUAUCCAAGCCUAUCAUUGGUGUUGCAUAUGGAGUACCUCUUAAGAUAGCAGAAUGGGAAGGCACCAUAGACUUAACAGUGGUGCAUAUGGAUGACUAUCGUAUGGUAAUGGGAAUGGAUUUCCUAGACAACAUACGACCCUGGUCAUUUGAAAGAGAUGAUACCAUGCGUAUCACUAAGGGUUCAAUAAUUCACAUUGUACCCUUGAAGAGAAAUAGGAUUGGAUCCCAAAUCCUAUCAACUAUGCAACUCGACAAAGGUCUCAAGAAGAGUGAGGCAAGGUUUAUGACAACCUUGAAGGAGGAAAUUGUUCCCUCAAAGAUGGACAUUCCGAAGGAGAAGAAGAACAUAAUGUCACUAGGGUUACAUAAAAACUUGCAUCUUAGACGAAAAGUGGAACAUGUGAUGGAGAAACCGGAUAAGGUGAAUAAGAAGAAAAACACAUUAAUUCGUAAGAGCAAAGUAAAAUCUCUCAACCAAGCAACAUCUAAACGAGAUGAUCAGAUCAAUAAGGGAUCACGUCAUAACAUGUUAAUAUUACAGGAAUUUUCCAGGGCUUGUAAAAGGGACACCCCACAUGCUUACAAGUUCUCCAACGGUAGGCAUAAGAAACUAUAUAAGAGAGUUCAACGGGGUCACGGACAAUAUUAUGGUGCAAUAAAAGGCAACCACGAAUGUCGUUGUCAACUAUGGAAGCAAUAUAUGAAGCAACGACUGCAACAACUAAGGAAAAACAAAACAUGUGGAAAAGAAAAAGUUCUCAAGUAAGAAGUCAAUAUGAAACAUAUCAAGACUAAUGACCAAGUAGCAAAUGGAGUUCAUAAAGGGUUAAGUACUAACAAAUAUGAGGGCUUUAAUUAUCAGCUCAACAUGGUACAACGAAUAGGGGCUAGUGCUGAGGGGGAGUGUUGAAGGUCAUCACUAGCCCAAUAGAAUCAUGUUAUUGUCUAAAAGAAGUUAGCAUGUUCUAGAAUGAUCUGGAAGAUUCUAGAACAUUAUGGAAUACUAUGGAGGAGUGUUGAAGAUGCUGGAAGAUUCUAGAAUACUCUAGAAUGAGAUGGAAGACCCUGGAAGGCUAUGGAACAUUCUAGAACACUAUGGAAGACACAAGAAUGUCUAUACUUAUCUAGGACAUUAUAGAACAUUCUAGAAACAUAUAAAAGCUUGUAAUAGAUAUAGAAUAUGGUAGAUAGUUCUAGAAUAGCCAUGAAUGUAUGUAGAUCUAGAAACUUCCUAUAAGGAGGUGGAAACACCUAUAAAUAGGUGUGGAGCUCAUUUGCUCCAAACAAUCCCAACAUCCAAGUAUCCAAGAAAGCCUCAAAGAAAGCAAAGUGUGUAGUAGUCUCACAAAGUGUGAGUUCUCCUUAAGUGUCUUAAUAAAAGUCUUGUUGUUUCCCAUAUAAAAGAGUCGUGUUCAACAGCAAACGGUGACGGUGGCUAAGGAUGGUUCUUAUGGUGGUGGAACUCGGUUAGGCAGUAGUGGCCGGAAGAUGAAGAAGGAGAGGUGGCGGCUACAUCAUUCUAUUAGGGUUAGGGUUGGACGAGCAUUCAAACAAUUUAAAUACCCGGCUCCAUGCAACUUAUGGAGAAAAUGACAAAACUGGUCCCUCUCAUUCCAUUCUCUUCAUCCCACGUCCAGUAAUUACCAUUUAUACCCUGGCUCCUUAAAAUCCUUACAUAUUAGAUCCUAAUGAUACCAAACACUCCUUGACUUAUAAGAACCCUUACAAAUCAAAUCCCAAGCCUACACUUUAACCCCCGGAGGUUCAAUUCUUUCCAUUUGGUUUCUCGAGACCAACACCCCUACUAAUUAUUAUUUAAUUUAUGAGCCCUACUAAUAUAAAAUAAUAAUAAUAAUAAUUACUUUCCGGGGCUCCUGAUUUGUUAUUUAAUUACUCUCUUCAAAAUGGGAUGUUACAAUUCUCCCCCACUUAAAUUUGAUUUCGUCCUCAAAAUCGUUUAUUCUUAUUCCUUACACGCCAAACAACUUGCACUUACAAUCCCGAGCAUAACCCUAGCCUUUCCACGGCAACCGCAACCAACCGUUGCAGGGUUCUAAAACCUGAAAAUAAACGAAUCCCUUUCAAUAUGAUCACAUUCACUCAGUUUGUAAUAUGAAGUAUCGAGAUGGUCUGGCUCCCUGACAGACUGCCCACAUUGGGUCAUUGUCGAAUACAUUGCACUUAACUCCCAACUGGCUACUCAACUUCUGAUAACCUGAGGUUCCCAUUAGAAAACAAAAUCAUAAAUCCACACUGCCAACUAUGAUCCUUUAGUUCCCGAACCACAUACAUAUACUAACCGGCUCGUAAGCACAAAUACUCAUACCUGGCCCAGACAGCCUUGGGCUGGAAUACAGGCAUGCCUGCGAAUGGUUCGGUCAUCCCUGGGAUGGAAUACCAUCGAUUGGAAUACCACUAUAUAUAACUCGAUCUAACCCAUAUCUAGAAAUCCAAGGACCCAUCCUUGCAUCUCAUCCAAAAUCCUCCGAUUCGUCACGACUGAGUAACACACAUUUGAAAUACUGGGUUCCGGCCCGGUCGCGGAGCUAAAGGACUCCCACAUAAUUGCCUCAUACGACCUAUGAACGAAAUCCUUCCCUGGAACUAGUUGCCACUAGUUAUCAUGCCACUGCGUCUCUAACAACCUCCUGAUCCAACCGAUCGGAUCCAUGCGUCAAAUCCCCUCGUUACCAAUCCACGGUUAAAAAGGAAUUGCUACAUGACUAAUGGUAGCCUUACAUCACAAGCAAUCUUAAGCAAUCUAUUGCUUCCUUGACCUCAUAACUGUAGUGAUGUUCCUACAGUCUUAUCACUAGCUUAACCAGGUCUAAUCAGGUUCCCAGAACCUGAAUGACUGAACAUUCUAAUCCCAAGCCUUCCUAGAACUGAUGGAUACCCAUUCAGAUCUACUCCUGGUCACCUAACUAGAGUAUUACCUGAUCCAAACAGAUUAAUUCCAUGAGACACUCCGAAAUGAUGAGAUCAUCAAGAUCCACUAUACUCUAACCGAUUUCUAAUAACAACUUCCGAUCAACCCAAAAUAUACCGGAGUCUUCAGCCUACUCCAGCAACACGUUCGAUACUUGGGAACAGACCUACUGAUUGAUAUAGCAUAUCAGCAUAUUCAGUACCCGCACAUACAUCUACAAACACAUACAGAGUCUUCAGCAUGACUUGACCGCCUCACCAGGCCUUCAGUCAUCUGGACCACUCUAAACUAUUGAACAUCUCCUUGGAACACCCCCUGGUGAUCUUUCCCAUGCAGACUGUUCUCACCCACUUAGGGUUCCGAACUCCUAAUCCAUUUCGUGGACUCUAACCCCGGCCUAACCCUAGGCCUCAUGUCGAUCGUCCAUCCCCUCGGAAUUUCAUGGUAUGUUCCCUGACCUGCGUGUCUACCGCAUAUGCUAAUAACCCGCACACCUGUGCUGAAUGUACUGUCGAGCCCUGGCAGCUAUCAAAACCCUCAAUCUAUCAAUCCAAAACCCUCAGAGUCGAGCACACCCUCGACUGAUUACUCGAACUGAACUCCAUUCAUGACUAGAGCUCCAACCUGGUUUCCCGACUUCUACUAUCAAGCACCAAGAAGACAUGAUACACAUGCUCGGGAGUUUUACCGAACUUCCAAUUCACACAUCCCACAAACCAAACAGCCAUUUAGGUUGUCUUCCUCCCUGAAAACGAUGCGAAACCCAUCCCAGUUUCAAAAACUGAUCUUGUUUCCGCAUUCCGGGACAAUUCUCCCCCACUUAGAUUCUUCUAAGUCUUCACAAUACAUGAAAAUUUUAGAAUUCCCAAGCCUUCUCACUUUCCAACGAUCAAUCUGAUGACAACCAGACCUUUCCAAUUAGUACUCCUUUACUAGCCAACCACAAGUGAUCACACACUUCUAAGAACUAGCUGAACACUUCUUGAAUUCUAGUGAAAUCGACAAUCCCUAAUGCUCGAAUGAUCCCACACUCAAAUCCUGAAGUCAAAAAGGUAGUUGCUCCAACUAACAUCUCUGCCACAAGUUACUUCCAUUGGCGCUUUCCUUCGCCAAUCAAUAAUGCUUACUAAAGCCACAGAAUUCUGACAAUGUUGAAUAACCAUCCUAUGGGACCCUGUCCACAGACCCCCCACAUAAUACCCUUCUUCCCAAAGUGUUCCAACAGUCCUUCUGCUCCUUGCUCUAAAAAUCAUAUCAUUCAGGGCCGCGCACCCUGACUCACUCACCAGCUCAAUCAUCCAUAGUUGAAUUGCAAACAACCUUUGCCCCAAACCGGGCUACAACUACUCCUAAGACAUAGUCUACAAUCCCAAAAGUGUAAUAGACCGCAUAAUCAAUCCUUACCGCCCGAUACGAGAGAUCCAAGGCGAACCGGACCUCACAACACACUUAUGCCACAUUGACCCAACUACGCUCAUCGGCGGCGACCAACUGACCCGAGCUGGAACACAACCUAAUCCUAGGGUCACAAGCCUGCUUAAUCCUUCGAGCUCGUAAACUGAAAGGGCACAAUCCUUGCCCAAGAAAACAACAUUCCAAUCCUAUCAAUAAACCAUUUUUAAUUCUAGUUACAUAACUCCAGCCGAACACAAUCAUUACUCCUUUCCAGAGUCCCUGAGACUCACAUCCGGCCUCGAGCGAAACCCCCAAUCCUCAAAUCUAGAAACUAAGGUGUUAUCCUCUCCCGCUCACCCGCGGAAAUAUAACGAGUACAAAUCGUCUUCCUGAUCCCAGAUAACUGUAGCCCUCUGCUCAUCAGAAUAUGUCCCAGUAACAAGUCCCGGUACUGAAAAGCUCGACCAGCUCCCCCUUGUCGUCGUUACAGCUAUUGAAGCUGCUGCGACAGCUGUCCUAACAAUGGCUACAUAGCGCUCAUCAAGGUAUUCAACCAUGGCGGUCUUGAUAGACCCAAACAUCUCCAGAAUCUGACCCUGGACAAAUCUCGAUCACUUCCUCCCGGAUGAUCUCACCGACACAAUCCACUGACAAUGCUGGCCUAUCCUGGCUGCCAGCUCCCGAUCCUAACUUGAAUCCGCUCUCAAGCCGUCUCGUAACCACCAUUCUGGUAACACACCAGAAACGUCUCUUAUAACCCAUAUAAUGACAAAGAGCCAAUUCCUAACCAAACCCUAGGGGUUGUGACUUCCUUGCUACGCGUAUGGGUCCUGUGCUUUCAGUAGUACGGGCCCAUACUACCUUCCACACCUACCCAUAUUUGUCUCAAGUAUCAUCACAACGCCCUAACAAUAUACAUAAACAUAGCGAGCGCUCAAUCCUCACUCCUAGAGGAAUGCUAGAUAUCUCAUAAAUGGCCUCCCAACCUCACACAACCCACCCAUCCAUGAAACUUCCAUCAACCCUGCAGUACUAGUGUAUGCUAGCCAUACAUAACACUAGACCCCAUAGACUUUUGAAUAUUGAUCCUACCCUAAGCCCUAAUCAAUAAGAAUAGAACAUAAGGCCAAAUCAAACAUUCUCAGGCUAUAAGAUCUUAAUUAUAUACAGUCGUGAUGCAUACACAAGUAACUACAAUAAUGAUGUCAAUCUCAUAUAAGGAAACCCUAGGCUAGCAGACAUCAUGUAAUCAGGCAAUUCUAUCAUGCCAUUCCNAGGAAACCCUAGGCUAGCAGACAUCAUGUAAUCAGGCAAUUCUAUCAUGCAAUUCCUGAAGAUCCUUAGCCUAGUACAAGCAUGCUGUUCUAACAUAUCACAUAAUCAAAUAACUGUAUUGUAUUUUGGGGUCUACUUACUGGCUCUGGCUGAUUGUACACCCUGCAUCCUCCUUUACUUAUUUUGAAAACUAUUUAAAAAUUCAUUUUAAAAUCAUUUCCUUGAUUUGAGACUGGAUUCACACGAGUGUUCCUCCAAUUCACUCAAACCAAGGCUCUGAUACCAACUUGUAACACCCAUAAAAUUUGAGCCAAAUUAAAACUUGUAAAACAUUUAAAACCGUUAAGUCAUUACAAUUUGUUUUCAAAAUAGUUUAGACAUCAGAGUAUCCCCAGAAUCAAUCAUGAAAAUAUAAGGAGGUGUAUGAUCACGCCUUCGCCUUCCCGUGGUCAUCAGAAAUACCUGAAAUAAAAUCAACAACUGUAAGCCCGAAGCUUAGUGAGUUUCCCCAAAAUACCAACGCCAUACAAACAUAACCAUGUCAUAUAACCAAUACAUAACCACAUGCAUAAUGAAUCACCAGCCUGACUGGACCGCCUCACAGUCCUUCAGUCUAUCUGGGCUGCUCUUCGAGCCUUCGGCACGUCUGGACCGCCAAGCAGGGCCUACAGCCUAUUCGGACUGCUCGCCGAAGCUUAGUGAGUUUCCCCAAAAUACCAACGCCAUACAAACAUAACCAUGUCAUAUAACCAAUACAUAACCACAUGCAUAAUGAAUCACCAGCCUGACUGGACCGCCUCACAGUCCUUCAGUCUAUCUGGGCUGCUCUUCGAGCCUUCGGCACGUCUGGACCGCCAAGCAGGGCCUACAGCCUAUUCGGACUGCUCGUCGGGUAUGUUGGCCUACAUCACAAAGCAGGACCGCCUCAACCCAACCCCCAAUCAAACAACACAUGUGCACAUAAAUAUCAUACGCUAGCUCAUUUCAUAUAACAGUCAAACCGAUCUAACAGAUCACCAANNNNNNNNNNNNNNNNNNNNNNNAUAUACAUAAUAUAAAACUAAUAUGUAUAUAUAUAUAUAUAUAUAUAUAUAUAUAUAUAUAUAUAUAUAUAUAUAUAACAGUUAAACCGACCUAACAAAUCACAAAGCAUAGCAAUAAUCCUAUAAGCAGGAUAUCGACCUAACAGGUCACUAACAUAGCAUCAUCCUAUUUACCAGGAUACCGACCAAACUGGACCACUAAAGCAUAGUAUAACACCACCUAACUACCAGGAUAUAAAUUAGUAUGCAUAAAAUCCAAUAAUUCGAAUACAAUCCAUAAAGGGCCGGCCUUGGUGCCUUAGACCCUGUUGAUAUAGUGAGGAGAACUACUACUGAAGUCUCGUAGGUAUGCUCCAGCUGCUGAUUGACAGAUUCUCGAACUGUCAACAUCAAACAAUACCCAAUUAAUAAUUGGGUUCCAAGCUCAAAGUCAAACUCACACUACAAAAGCCCAAAGGUCAAGUAAUGGGCCAAGGCCCAACAUAUGGCCCAAUCUUCCAAAUUAGGCCCAAGUACUCACAUGGGCCUUAUCCUAAAGCCCAUCUAAUUACUUUGGGCCAUUAACUUGUUCUUGGAUGGUCCAUCAAUAGUCUAACCACCAAAACCCUAUAGGAAGGCCCAAGUGAAAUUAGGGUUUCACAUAAAAUGACAACUAGGGUUAAGUGUUUCUCACUUAACCCAUUAAGGACAUAAUCCAUUAAUCCCCUCACUUUACUAAAUAAGUCAUAUGGUGUGAUUGGGCUUAAUACACAAUUCCUUUCCAAUCGCCCAAAAGUGGGUCCCGAUAAGUCCAAGCCCAUAAUCCCAAAAUUAGGGUUUUCACAUGAAAUGAUGAUUACGGUUAAGUGUUUCUUACUUAACCCAUUAAGGACUUAAUCCAAUAAUGACUUAAUCCAAUAAGGACUUAAUCCAUUAAGUCCAUUAUUGCCAUAGAUUAAUUUUCCAAUGAUUAUUAUUUAAUAUCUCAAGUUAUUAAAUAAUUCCCGCGUGUGUGUGUGCCGAUCCAUUUCCAUAAUUUAGGGUUUUAUGCUAUUAGGGUUUUCCAACACAAUACUAGCCCAUUAGUCCAUUGAUCGGGCUUUUAGGUCACAUUGGGCCUUAUUGGGCCCAUUAGGAUUACCAUUGGGCCUACUAGGGUUUCUUUGAGCCCAUUAGGGUUUCAUUGGUCCCACAUUGUCCAAACAUCCCCCAAACGAGGUCCAAACGCAAUCAAAGCACACCGCCACCCGACACGGCGGCCGGUGGCGGCGGGAGGCGGCAGCCACCACCUNNNNNNNNNNNNNNNNNNNNNNNNNNNNNNNNNNNNNNNNNNNNNNNNNNNNNNNNNNNNNNNNNNNNNNNNNNNNNNNNNNNNNNNNNNNNNNNNNNNNNNNNCAGCCACCAUGGCCGGCGGCCAUGGUGGUUCUUCCUUGAAUUUUCUCCGGCAGCAACAACCCGAGACAUCCAAACUUGCAAGACACGCUGAAACACACACCCACUUCACACAUACGCCCCCUACUGCCCAGAAAAUAAACCCAACAUCUACUGAGGUGGGUGGCGAAGGCGGCAGUACAAGAGAAUGACAGCAACGACGACAACCCUUCAGCUGCUUGGGCGGUGGUGGUCGACAUAGAAGAACGGUAGCGACACACACCCGAUAUGCAAGGCAUGACACAACCACCCAUUUGGUGACAUCCGACGGACCAGACGACUGACAUAACGACGACACAACGGGUUUCAUCGAUUCUCACGGUUCUCCAGCAGCAGCGUCGCAAUGGCGACUAUCAACAAUAGCGUAGCGGUCAGCGGCGCUUAAUGGCGGGGCAGCAGAUGUCCCCAUUUGAUCGGAAUAUCGAACAAAAUAGAG